CAGAGGUCUCAAGCGUUGUUCGGAUUCAUUGGGCGUAAAGGGUGUGUAGGUGGCGCGCUAAGUCGGGUGUGAAAUUUCGGAGCUUAACUCCGAAACUGCAUUCGAUACUGGCGUGCUUGAGGACUGGAGAGGAGACUGGAAUUCAUGGUGUAGCAGUGAAAUGCGUAGAGAUCAUGAGGAAGACCAGUGGCGAAGGCGGGUCUCUGGACAGUUCCUGACACUGAGACACGAAGGCCAGGGGAGCAAACGGGAUUAGAUACCCCGGUAGUCCUGGCAGUAAACGGUGUACGUUUGGUGUGGGAGGAUUCGACCCUUCUGCGCCGGAGCUAACGCGUUAAACGUGCCGCCUGGGGAGUACGGUCGCAAGAUUA
rnacentral:rRNA from 1 species